GUGGCACAAGUGAUCCUGAACUUUUGCUGCUGUGUGCUGGACUUCUGUGAAUGUGAUUAAAGAAACGUUAGCACCAACAGGGAGGCAGUGAGGAGAAAAUUGAGAAAGGCACAACAUUAAAAGCUAACCAACUCAAGCUCUACAUUGUCUGAACUGAGGAGCAAUCAUACCUUAUUCUGCCUCUUCUGUCUUCUUCGGAGGCGCAGGAACUCCUUGUGUUGCCUGGAGACGAAGUUCACCGCUGCGUAUUCCAGUAAGGCAGCAAACACAAACAGAAGGCACACCGCCAUCCAGAUGUCAAUCGCUUUUACAUAGGAGACCUGAGAGAGAGAGAGAGACACACACACACACAGAGAGAGAGAGAGAGAGAAAGAAAGACUAUGAAAGCCUGCCAGGAAACCAGAUUCUUAAUGGUGUGAGCAGCAAAAUAACCUAAUUUCCUUGGUCAAUGAUUUUCCAGCGUUUUCUUAAGAAAGUACUUAAGCCAUUGAUUCUACUUUGAAGAUUCUGGGCAGAGCACUGAAAGUCACAUGCCCCUGAACCAGUAGCUUUAUUCCUGAGACCAGCUCCAAUGACUUCAAGAAUUUCCUUAAUGACAGAUUUUAAGUGUUCUCACUACAAAUAAAUAUGUGAAA